GGAGAAAUGGCUGAGUGGUCGAAAGCGAUGGAUUGCUAAUCCAUUAUAUGAAGUUUUUUAUAUCAAGGGUUCGAAUCCCUUUUUCUCCAC
rnacentral:tRNA from 1 species